UGCACCCUAAAAACCACUUGUGGAGAAAUCAACAUGACAAGAUUUGAUUGAGAUACUCAGUGCUGGCAGCUGAAGCAGACAGCCCAUGAUGACAGUCCGUGGGUCUUGUGCCAGCUGGCACAGGCUUUGGAAAAGGUGACCAUACCACCAAGAGAGCAGGAACAAACUAAGGAGUUUUGCUAGAGCGUCUGAACAACAUCCUGCCUUGUCACAUAUUCUGAAGGAAAUUAGUUGGAGAAGACCUCUAUUACCAGUUUUCCUGCAACUGACCUCAGUCCUGUGGCAGAAGCUGUUAGAGUGAAGAUACCUGGCUUCUUAUUUGUCCUUGAUCACCAGCACAGGUUGCAUUCCAG